UACCGCCGCGGCCCGCCGGCACCGCCUGCCCCGGCCAGGCUCCCGGCGGCGCUGCGGGAGCGACCCCGGGCGGAAUCAAACCCCAGCAUCCCAGCAGGUUGGAGCGCAGUUUAGUGAGCAACGGGCAGGGCCGGGCAGGGCUGGGCAAGACAGGGCAGGGGUGUGGAGGCAACUGCCCCAACGGUAUCCCCGGGCUGUCUCGCAGCGCAUUCCUGGACAAGUCCGCCUCCCUCCCAGCCUGAAAGCGCUGGGUUCGAAGCAGGCUUGCGGGGCUCUGUCCCACUCCCGUCCAGGCUCCAUCCGUAGCCAUCUGCCGUGGCUUAAUUCUGCUCCGCCAUCUAUCAAAAGGCAGCCUCAGUCGGCAAGAGCAGGGGAUGCUCUCAUGCACUAGAUAAGGCAAACCGACUAAGUAACAGUGAUAACCACAAGAACAAUAAUGGUAACAAUACUAUCUGCCCGGAGGUUAGAGGGCUUUGCCCUCUUUCCUCUUGCACUCAGCAGGCAGCACUGAUCGCAGUGUGUUUUUUGCCAGAGACUGGGUUGCAGAUGGGGCUGGUCGCCCUUCUCUGCAAGGAGAUAAAGGGAGCAAUUCUUGCCCUUCCCGCAGUGUCUCCUUGCCUCUUCAUCCCCGCGUAAUCAUCCUUCUGUGGUCCAGCAGACCAGAUGUAAACACACAGACUACUCCAUCCUUGCCUUCCAGCUCAGCGAGUUGGCGCCAAGUCUUUCCCGAUGCAUUGCAUAGAUGUUCUCAUUUCUUGCUUUGAGAUACCUGUACACAUCCAUACAUCUACCUACACAUGCAUAUGCACAUUUGUGUGUGUUCAUCUAUGUAGCCUCAGAUUGUCAUGAUUCAUUCAUCAUUACUUCUUCCUUAUAUGUCCUUUGUAAGACCCAGAGUUUUUCAGGAUCUCAGGGGAGCUGUGCAGGGAUCAGAGGAAAGUCCAUCUUCGCCUGCUUGUGUGUGAGCCAGGAUGAGGUGCAGCCGAGGUUGACCUUUAAACAGCGACUCCCGCCCGGAGCUACGGGAGCAGCUUCUGGCCCCACGGCGCCCCCUGGAGGCCGCGCAUCCCCGUGCAGCCCUGUGCGCUCCCUCCGCCCCUUCCUCCUCGGCCGAACUCGAGGAACUUCAAGCGUGAAGGAUUUGGAAGCAACAUUCCGAUCCAAACCCCAAUAGCUUUAAAAAGUCACAUGCACGUCAUAAUAUAUCGCAGUGGUGAGUGUGAAAAGUUAGCUUUUUGUGCCUGCCCGGUGGAAAUCAAGGCUGUACCCCUCCUGUAAAUUCGGUGCUGUAGAGUGUCAGCUGUGAUGUGAAAAUAUGAAGGGAAAUGGGCUACUAUCUGCUUGCUACAGCUGUCGAGGCAGCCUGGGACAUCAGUUUCACUCAGGGACAAACACCAAGAGGUGAAGUCAAGCUAUCGCCCUGUGACAUUCUUCAAAAAGUUCAAAUAAAGCCUAUGAAUUAGGCUGACUAAAUGCCAUUAUUUCAUGUGGUUUCACUUGUCCUCCUGUACUCAAGGUGGUGGCCAAGAAAGGCAUAGUGCACAGGUAAGUCAGGCAACAAGCAAAGCAAGCCCUCCAGCAGAACAAGCUCUCUCCCACUGCCUUCACCCAGCAGAGCCUGUCCCAGCAGCAGGAUCUUCCCUGGUGCCUCCACUGAAAGACGCAGGGGAAAAGCUCCACAUCUGGCGCUUCUAGACCUGGUGUGCAACUGCAACUGCCACAGUAUGGGAGAGUGGAUGAGCCAGUCAGCAAGGUAUGGCAUGAGAUUCAUCUUCACCCUCUGCACAAACUUCGUUACAUUCCUUUUGCAUUACUUAGCUCCGCUGAUACUGAUAAAUCGCCACAAUAACUGAGGAGUGAGAUAAUAGAGAUAGUAAUUUGCAGUCUAACAUGAAUUAAUUCUCUCUUAAUCAGGAACUGCUUUGAUAGCAUAGCAGGUAUUAAGGGCACAGCACUUCUCAAUAUUAAAUAUUUGUGUGUCUGAAGCAGUCUUAAAAAAAUAUGACUAGAGUAGUCCCACAAUCAGAAAACAGGGAAGAAAACCAAAACUUGAAAUAUAUUCUUACUAUAAAAUAUUUGAAAGUGUAUCUUAAGGACAAUUUGAUUAGCACCAGGAAACUACCAGAUUAACUUCAUGUACUGUUCAUGUGGAGAUUAGUUUAUAAUUCACUGUAUUAAAGUAAAUCUGUUUAUUAGGUGGUGAAGUACAGGUUGCACGUUAAAUAAUAUUAACUUAAAUACACACUUAAUACUCGUAAAAAAGUACUUAAAAUGUAAUGUAAGGUUGUUAACUCGAUGACUUUUUUUGUUUUGUGUAAGUGUUCUGUACAAGAAAAUACAAGCUGCAAUGUUCUAUGCACAGCAACUAACUAGUGCACAUUUAAACUGAUCUUAAUGAAGAAAUGCAGCUGGUAAAGGAGUUAUAAAGCAAGGCAAUAGCAUUAAUUUCUCAGAAAUUCUAGCAAAGAAUUACAGGAUUCUUUGAAGUUAUGUUUACAGUGCUUGGAACAUGAAAAAAACUGACAUACAUAGGUCUUCCCUACUUCAGAGGGUUAUGACACAUCACUGUGAUAUGUCAUUUUACAUAAUCUGCGUAAAAAAAAUCUGAACCUAAAGCUUCCUCCAUACAUAAUUCAGCUCUCACAAACUAGAUGUAUUAGAGGUAUUUAAGGUAUUUUUGGACCAUUGAAAGAUUUUUGGUUUGAUUUACUGUUAUACGUCCAGAGUACAAGGCAAUCAACCAAGCGAACAUUUUUUAGUGAGAGUACAGGUCACUGUGAAAAGCUCUUACCUUCUUCACACUGUUGUUUUUCAAACCUUAUUAAGAACAUUUUGCUAUUUGUUCUUUCUUUAGACCAUACAUAGUCUAUUAACAUCCGUGGAUAAAAUGAAAAGAGCAGCUGUGACUGGAAAACUAAAGGUACAACCUUUAAAUUUUUUACCAUGUAUACUUCCAGGUAAUCUGACAGACUGGGUGAAGUCCAUUGAAAACCACAGACACAACUUCUUUCAAAUUAGCAAAAUUGGGAUAUCUCUGACUCCUGUUAAAUUAAACAAAAUAAAAAAAUAAUGAUGUUGCUGUCACUAAUUAAAGCAAUAAUUAGUGUGAUGUUGACCUACUUUAAAGAUUUAUAGUUCCUCAUUUCUCUUCUGUAGAAAGGCCAAACAUAAGAAGUAAUUUCCUCUAAAAGAGUGCCAAACCCCCCAAAGAAAGCAGAAAAUUCAGAGGGUUUUCCUUCUUUGAAUUUCUUUUGCUCAAUUUCAAGCAAUUAAAAUGUCAGAUUCCCUGCCUUAGUCAAACCAUGAAACCAGGUAUAGGUUUCAGGUCACAAGUAUUUAAGAAAUACAUAGAAAUCUUGACUUUUUAACUUGUCAGAUAAGAAGAAGGAAUUGCUGAUUUUACCAUGGUCAAUACAAAAUCAAAACAACAUAUGUGUCUGUUCAGAUAGAACUUCUGCACUUAUAUGUUCACAAACUUGAUUUUAGUAAGCUUAACUUUUUAGCAGGAUUUUGCAAUCCUAAAACCAAGGACAAGGCUUAAACGUGCAGGGUGAAGAUUCAAAGCACGUAGGAUGCAAUACAUGUCUGAAAAGGAAUUCCAUCCUUCCCUACAUGAAGUCUGGAUUUAAGAUGGCACUCCAGUACAUACUGCAGUCCCCAGCUGUACUCAGGCCCUGCAGCUCCAUACUGGGGUAAGAAAGAGCUCUCCUGUGCUCAGAGUCCCCCCUGACUGCCAGGAUCAGGCAGACACUUGGGGGCUGUUGAAUCCACUUGACCUGAAGGUUCAUACUACUCACACGAGUAACGGGUAUGACCAAGGCCAGUGUUCAUACUAUAUGCUUAAUGCAGUCAAUUAAACAUAUCCAGGGGCUUCCUAAUAUUAUAUAUAAACAAAACAGAGUAUUAAUUCUGUAUUAAGAGAAGAAAUGUAUAAUAGUAGAGAUGGCCCAGAAAUACUUUACCUGAUCUAUGAAAAAGAAGGAAGGACUUUUGAAAUAUUAUGUAAGAACGAACAGAAUGACUUUAAGGAUCGGGAAUAAUAGAAUUAAAUGUCACAUAAGAAUGUGGAAGAUCACAUUCUGGAAUUAAUUGAACUGUUUCAUGUUCUAAGUUAGAACUACAAAUGGCUGGAGGCAGUGGGAGGAAAAAGACUUAAGGUAUUGUUUGGUUGCACAAUAUCUGUAUGCUAGGUGUGUGAUAUGUACAUAGAAAGAAAAAAGCCAGUGGGAUGUUAUUAGAGGAAAUUAUUUUAUGCUAUAACCCUCAGCGCAGGCAAGACUUCAUUGGGAAUAUUAUUUACAGUCUGAUCAGUCAUGGUCAGACAAAAGGCUGCCAAGACAGCAAAGAGGAUGAAAAGCCUCCGGUCCAUGAGGUGACAGCCAGAACUUGAUUUGUGAGCUCAGCAAAAUGAAGUCAGAGGAGAGGUAUGAUGGCUCUUGGCAAAUACCCAAGAAGAAACAACACUGGGAUAGGCAAAGAAGUAAUUGUACUACAGGAUGCUACCACUAACAUUACCUUGGGGGGUGGGAAAUCAACAAAUCCCAAACUAGUCUAAGCAUAAAGGGAAGUAAAUUCAUACAGUCUUCUCAUAAAGUGGUGGAGGGGAAAAAAAUCUGAUUUUAAGAGCAAGCUACUGAAUUCAUUUACUAGGAAGAUUAUUCUGAUCUUUUAACAUGUUGAAAUCUCAAAAAAAAAAAAAAAAAAAAAAUAGAACAGAUCUCAGCCUGGACCAAGCAAAAUAUUUUACAUAUAUUUCUGAGCUCUAAAUCUAUGGCAGUUAUAAAAUAAAAGGUUGUUUUGAAAGAUGGAAUGAGAGAAAGAUAAAGAGAAUGAGAGCAAAAGAGCAAGAAGAGGGGAGAGUACAAAAGUGGAAGAGAGGAAGAGACAGAAACAGAGAGAAUCAAGGAGAAACAGGGAGAAACAGAGAAAGGGAAGGAAAGAGAAAUAUUUUCAAAUAAAAGAAAACGUACAAAACAAGAUGUUUUAAUCCAUUAAUUCAAGGUAUUUUUGAGUUGGGUAACUUAUCAAAUUGUACUGUUUCACUGGUUUCAGUGAAUCAGCAUAUUCUUCUUUAAAAAAAAUUAUUAAAAUAUCCUAAAUGCACUGCUCUACAAAUAACCCUCUGUUCUGCUUUGAAGUGUUCCUUUAGUCAUUAUGCAGAACUUGCAUAAUGAGAUAGACUUCAAGCUGUCAAUAAUACUGUAAGCUCACAGGAACAGAAAAUCAGGGUAUGUUAUGGCUUUGUUAACAUUGCUGGAAAUAAAUUCUCUAAAUCAAGAGAUUCUAAAGCUUUUAUCUUUAUUAUUUUUUGUGAUUUUAAGUGAAGAGAUAAGGAAAAUGCAAAGAUAAUCUGUUUAUAGAUUUUGUGGGCUGGCAGAAGAACAUUUAACCAGUUUUAUGUUCUACUAACUGCAGGUAAUGAAAGAACCACAAUUUCUGGGAGUUUAUGAUUAAGUGCAUAUUGGAGCUCAGAUAUAUUGAUUUUGCCAGCAUGGUGAUUCGCACGCAGGCAUAUAUAGAUUCAAAAAUAUGGAUAAAUACAUAUACCCCAGGUAUCAGCUAUAUUAUCAUUAAACCAUUUUCAAACAAUUGGCAGUCCAAAAAGGUAUGUUACCUCAUGUUACAAGCUUCAGCAAUACAUAACCUUCAUAUAAUAAAAAUGUUUUUAUUUUCCCUCAAUUUUGGAGACAAAGCAAACACCAGAGGAAAGCCACCUAAGGCUGCAAAAGUUUGAAGAAAUCCUAAAUACAGGAAAACAAGAGGUUAGACCUGAAAAUGCCUGACUGUUUUUGCCACCUUAAACUACAGACACUUCUGCCUUUCCAGAUAUAAAACAUGAACCCACAAGAAGGCAGCUCUUCUAUGGUUCAUGUAUGGAUGUGAAGAAGCAAAGAUGAAAGACUAUGCAAGCUCGUCUGCACAGAAACUGCAAAAGUGCCUGGAAUAUUAGGGGAACACAGAAACCGAGUAUUUAUUAGGAAGAUUGCAACUGGUCCUGAGUAGAAAUGAAUGCUGAGAUUCCAUGCAGUAUUAAGUGAAGAGAAAUAAUUCUGCAACUUCAGCAGUUUAUACCGCAAUACGAAGAAGCACAGAAAGGAGACAAAUAGUUCAAAGAGCACAAGAACUGUGAAAAUUACAUAGUUUGGGGGUUGGGUUUUUUUUUUAUUUACAAUGCAUUUCCUUCAAUUGCAUAUGCUCAGCCUUUUAUGUUCAGCUUAAGAUGCUUGUACAAGCAAGUUUCUUUCCAGCAAACAUUAACAUUUUGUGGGCAAACACAAAAAUCACUCGAUUUUUAUGUCUUCACAUGCACAUGUUUUCAUUCCAUUUAUUUAAGGGCCCAUCAUCUGAGAAAGUAAGAACAGUUCUGUCCAGUAAGCAAGAACUACAGACAGGUCUCAAGUGGAUAAGGAAUGCCUUUGAAGAGCCUUUUCCUGCUGAAAACCAAAACAUUUACUGAGCAUGUCAGAGGAAUCUGUGUCUGCUGGAUUCCUGACCACAGCAUAUUUCUUCCUUGAAGAAACAGGAUGAAUGGCAGAGGAGAUGGUGAACAGGGAUAAACCUUGAGUGCUGGGACUGCAAUUCAGCCCAAAGCCUGCCAUGAAGGAGGGGAUACGAGAGGCUGCUAAGGAAUGGGAGGACAAAUCCUCCCUUCUGCUUAUAUAUGUCCAGACCUGGAAUUUAGAAAGACCAAUAAAGAAGGAGAACAGUAGCUGAAUCCAGGCAGGGAAAAGGCAGUAACGACUCUUAUAUAGCAAUUACAGAUGUCUGAGAUAAACCAGCACAGCCUUAUCAGUGAAAAAGAUGGUUGAUCUUUUGAAAUUCUUCUGAAAAAUCCCUACAGAAUGAGCAGUAGAAAGUUGGCUUCGAAUCUCCUAAAAUUAUACAGAAGCAUUAAGUUAGUGUUUCAUAUACAGUUAUUAAUUAAUGUAAUGCAAAUCAAUACAAUUCAUGACAGUAUUGCAUAUGUUCCCCAUCCAAAAUCCUGUGUUUCCCUGUUGUGCUUCAGAGUUUGCAUCCUAUAGCACAGUUCCUACAUUUUCCUUAAUUUUAGAAACUGUCCUGCUUACAACCACUGCUCUUCUGGCUGAGAAUGAUAAGAUGGGAUUUUGACCAUGAACACUGUUCAGUGUCAGAGUAAAGUUUGGUGAAAUGAACCUUCUGCUCCCAGGUGUGAUGGAUUGGAGCUGAAAUGUCUCAGUUGCAUAGAGAGUUGCCAUGCCCUCCUACUCCUACUAAGAGCCGACACGUUCAGAAAGUAAUUGAGAUGGUAGUGAGGAAUUAGCAGAUAUCACACCAACAGAUAAUGUUUUCUGAAGGUUCUGGAGAAACAAACUAAGGAGUGCUGGAGAGGUUCUGGAGAGCUGAUUUAGCAGAACUGAAUUUUCUCCUUUUUCAGUUUGCCUAACAGAGAGAGAAAAUCUAAUGAAAAAGGUAUUCUUAACAGGGCCAAAAAUUGUCUGAGCUCUCCCAAACAAGCAGCUUCAGAAAAAUAAAACACUGAAAAAUGCACAGCAAGAACUCAGUAUGACCAAGAUGAAUAAUGAAAAGUGACUUGACACUCUUUACUUAAAAGUCUUCCACAUUCUGGUUUCUGACUAUGAAUUAUUUAAAAGAUGUUUGGAAAACAUCAUCGCUUAUGGGAAAAAUCUGCAUCUCUAAAGAGAUCACAUCUUUGUGGACAGGAUCCUAAUUUAUUAUUUCAAUAUACCAACUCAGGGGUGCUGAGAUAUUGAAGCAAGAAAAAGUAAUUUUAAGAAGUUUAUUUACACAGUUGUUUGUUGGUUUUUUUUUUCCUUUUGAAUGCGAUGUAAUAGACAGCACAGCAUGGGGGACCUGAAGAAUCAUGCCAGCAGCCUGAGACACAGCAACUGCCAGACAACUGGCAUCUAAAUUCAACAGUAUUUAUAAUCUUCCUUCUAAUGUCUGGCUCUCACCAUGGAGAACUCCAGGGAUAAUAACUUACUGGUAAGCCCAGUUCUGCUACUUAGUCUAGGCUUCAGUGAUACCUAUCUACAGCUCUUGAGAUCUGCCUGUCCUGGCAAGAGUGGAUAAGUAUAUGUAUAUAUACGUUGCACAGCCCUUUAGCAGGUUGUGUCCCCAGUGCUGGAUUUUGGGAAGCACUAGUAUAGCUUAUUUAAGUUCCAGCUAAAGUUUCUCAGUUCCCAGCGAAAGCAAGCUGUGAGCACAGCAGUACUGGUUACUACAGAAGCUCUCUCAUUGGAAGUGAUUAAGAAGAGACCAUACCAAGUAUUUCUGCAGCUCAAGCACUGGCCAGGCAAAGGAACAACAUUACAAACAUCACAUUUUCAGGAUCUAAUUCGUAUGAUUCUCUUCACUGCUCUCCACUACACAUAUGAUGCAACUCUAUAGCAAAGUAGGGACAGUAGGGACUGCUUAAUCAGGACAGCCUAAUGUACGGGCAAUUAUCCAAAGCCACAUGUUUUCUAAAUUCUGUAUGGGCAGAGAUGGAGCUUAAGAGGUCUGUAGGGAUCAGAGCUGCUAAUAGACUUCUAAGGAGGGCUCUGGGGACUGGGAUGUGCAUAAUGAGAAAAUCUGGAUAUUUAGUGUGAAGAACUGUCCCAGUCCACUCUAGCAAUGGGAUAAACUGUGUAGUCUGUGAUUUUCCCUGUUUUUUGUUAUUAGCGUGGCUGAAAGUGGUUCAGAAGGGGGAGAUCUGGACAACUUGGUCAAGCAUACUGUUGGGAAGUACUAUUAUACAGGCAGAUUUUCUUGCCAGGUCCCACCUCUUCAGGCUGCAGCAUCAUGUCUGCAGGCUACAUCCUUAUUUAUUCCCAUGUGUUACAUUUGAACAUCGUAUGCACAUAGUGUGUGUUCAUAUCUGUGUACAUAGAAGUGUCUGUAUAUGUAUAUACACAUAAAUUUAGAACACAUCUACUAGAACAAAGGGGUCUAGAGAAGCUUUAAAAUUCUGGAUUUUUGAAAGAAGAGAAAAAAAAUCUUCCACAAUACUUCAGUCUAUGUUUUCUUCUAUUGUUCUUUCCAUUUAAGUAAAAGUGCUUCCACUAUAGUUAACAUACUGGUGUCUGAAGACAUCCUUGGUGUUUACCCUUAAUUCUAAUCCAGUUCCUUUGUUACUGAAUCAGUUUAGAAAAACAUCUCUGUUCAGGAAAGUACUUAAGCAUACACUUAAGUAUAUUCUUAAAAGUAAGUGACUUCUUGAACCAGCUUAAUAAUUUAAAGUAGUAUUAAUAAACAUUCCUUAAUAAACAAUCAAUUUGGUAUGUGUUUACAGUGCAGUGCUGCUCUGAUACUUUCACGUUUCUUUGCUUUUACCACUAAGAUGACAAAUAGUAGGACAUAGAAAGACAGCUUCGUAUUUUUGAUAGUCGAGGUUUAAGAUGGCUUUGAAGAGCCUCAUUUUCAGAAGCACACCACUUCAGAAAAUCAGGUUCACAAUGAAAGAGCUGACCUCUAGCACUCUACAUCAGUAAUUUUUUUGGAAAACUUGAUCUGCUCUUCUAGGCAAACCAUUAUAUCCAUAGCAACACACAAUUCAUCUUCUGGUUUGCCGCUGCAGUUUUGUGACUAUUGAUUGCAUUGUGAAUAGUUGUUGGAACUGAUCACAAGUGGUAUGUGCAUAUGAGCAUGCACACAUCUGUGUAUGUGUGUGUAUGAGGUACAAAUCAGUGUUUGCCCAUGCAAAGUGUCCUCUCUUUCCUGAAGACUCAGUCCGAAAAGGCUCCAUGAGUGUGAACAGAGAUUUUCCUAAAACAUUCUUCACCAUUUAUCUGUCUUUUCUGCAAAAAGCAUGUGUGUUAAAUUAAAAAAUGGGAUGAAUUUGAUAACCAAGCGUUUCAGCAGUGGUACAAAGAAGGGCUGUGGAAACAGCCCAGUUCGUGGCCAACGCAGCACGGGAGGAGAACCGUCCACCAGUCUCGCAGCCUGACUGCCACAUCAGUAAUCCCAGUUGGGCUCCAGUGCAGAACUAGAUACUAUUCUCUUCCAGACAGUGGCAGGGUAAGGGCAUUGCCACUUUCUGCAUCAGCACUCCCAGAUGUGCAUUCCCCUUUUCCCAGUGCUUCCUCAGCUUUGGAGCUGCAACGGGAACCUCCUGUUUGAGGGCCUGCUCAUAACUUGGAGAGCUCUUUUGAAACCCUGGCAUUUUUCUCCUGUAAUUCAGCAAAUACUAUCACAACCAGUUGUAGUUGCGUAAGGACAAAAGCACAAAGAAGGUAUAAGCAACAGGGAACUGUGUAAGGGGGUGGGGAAAAAGCAAUGUUGUCACUGAGAAAAGGCAUACAGGACUUUAUAAAAUUUAUGUAUAACUGGUCAUACUUUACAACAGCUUAGGAAUUAUCUGCACCUCCCAAGUGACAUAAUUUAACAAAUGCCCUGAACAACCAGCUUAGUUCAGGAGUGCUUAGAAGAAAAAAAAGUUCUAAACACAUUUGAUAUGUAAAUCUGACCAGCUCUACUUGCCACACAAAAGGAAUUUAUCCUCUUUUUAGAUUUUUAGCUUUAUAAUGGCAGUGGCGAUCUUAGGGACAUCCCUAGUCAAAUUCAGAGCUCCCCAUUUUGUAUAAAUAUGUUAGCUUAAUAAAGUAGGGCUGACUAGAAAUAAAUAAAUAAAUAAAAAGUGCUAAGAUUUUCAAUUUCAUACUUGUUUCAUACCAGAGGAAAAAAAUUACACUUCUCCUAUGUUGUUCAGCGGGGAGGUGGUGGAGGUGAGCCACCAUACACACAUACACACAAACACACAGCCAAGAGAGCACCUUACUCCUGCUAAGUUUUGUUAAUACAGUCUUCUUAAAUCCAAUACAGCCUCUCUCCUCUCAGAAGUGAAAAAACAAACAUGCCAUUGCAAGCCAUGGUUAGUCUGACGUUGCAGCUACUCACAUAGCCUCUCCCGCUACAAGGACAGCAUUUGGCAAGUCUUUGUCCGUUGAGAAACUGCACACAAAACUAGACUGGAAACACAGCCCUUCUACUAACACACCAAUAAAAAUCCCAAGCUAAAAAUGUUAAAGAUGACGUCGAUCCAAUAUUCCUCCUACACACAUGAAACCUAAAAUUGCCUUAAGGACUGCUCUUCAUUAAAGUUCCAUUAAAUGGGCUGUUACAAUAAAUUAGUAAAUUACUUCUUACAGCCACAGCACACGGUUCCAGUCAGAAUAACGUAGAAGGCAUGACUUACAUCAGGCAGCUUUUCAAGCCUGUUAUCAAAACUAUCAUUCAUGUUGUGUCUAACAAGAAUCCUGUAACAUUGUAAUUUAAGCCAACAUAGAUAUUGUUACAAGGAAUGCAGAUUGGUUUUAAGUUUUCUUUGUUACGCAGAAGAAAGUUUGCAUUGAUGUACUUAUAUGCAUCUCUACUGACUUCACUCAAGUCUGCAGGAAGAUGUAAACAAGAUAAAGGCUAUCUGGAGCAACAGAAGCUAACCAAAGCCAACCAAAGCCCUGCCUGUAGACCAUGGGUCUACUCCCUAUGUCUUUUGGUCUCAGGCAGACAGGAAAAAAAAAUAUCCUUCUCUUCAUGAGAGGAGACUCUGAGCUAGGUUUAAGAUCCUCAAUCAAUCAAAGACAAUUCUUGCCUCAGAGAAUUUUUUCUGAGGCAAUUCUGAGAAAUUACUCAGCUUUACUGUGAUUCUGGCCAACCUCCUCAGAUGAAGACAUCAGAGCCAGAGCUUUAGCUAUCCCUCAUAUCAACAGUGCCUAGAUAAUCUCAUGUAAAACCACUAAAAUCUGUCUAUCAGGUAUGGUGAGAACAUAUAGGUUUAUAGGCACUACAGAUUUACAGCGCUUAUGCACAGGGCCUAAUUUCAUUCUCUGGAGCAUAGUUUUUUGAGGAGAAAAAGUAAGACAGACUGCCUCCUGCUAUGGUGUUGAGAUCAGUUUCAUAGACAAGCCAAUAAAAUUUGAGUAGCAUUUACAACAUAAAACCCUUACUUUCCCCAUACUGACCCCUUGCUUUUGGGCAUAGGAAUGCAUGCCUAGCUCUUGUCUGUGAUCAGCUUACAGAGCAUGUAUAGAUCCCCAUCAGCUCCUCACUGGUUACUGAUGAGAAACACUGCUUUCUAGCCAACCUGCUGAGAGUCCUGAAUUUUACCAAAGUAUGUGUCAAUAGGAUAACAAUGCCAAAUGUUUCCUAUGAAAAAAAGUGGAAAAUGACUCAUUAAACAGUUUGAGCACA